GUAUGCAGUGUGUUGUGUUGGUGAAUGCAGUGUAUGUGUGUGUUAUUCUAUGCAGUGUGUGUUGUGUUAGUGAAUGCAGUGUAUGUGUGUGUUAGUGUAUGCAGUGUGUGUUAGUGUAUGCAGUGUGUGUGUGUGUGUUAGUGUAUGCAGUGUAUGUGUUGUGUUAGUGAAUGCAGUGUAUGUGUGUGUUAGUGUAUGCAGUGUGUGUGUGUGUGUGUGUGU